rnacentral:rRNA from 1 species
GUCGCAAGACCAAAGUGGGGGACCUUCGGGCCUCAUGCCAUCAGAUGUGCCCAGAUGGGAUUAGCUAGUAGGUGGGGUAACGGCUCACCUAGGCGACGAUCCCUAGCUGGUCUGAGAGGAUGACCAGCCACACUGGAACUGAGACACGGUCCAGACUCCUACGGGAGGCAGCAGUGGGGAAUAUUGCACAAUGGGCGCAAGCCUGAUGCAGCCAUGCCGCGUGUGUGAAGAAGGCCUCGGGUUGUAAAGCACUUUCAGCGGGGAGGAAGGCGGUGAGGUUAAUAACCUUGUCGAUUGACGUUACCCGCAGAAGAAGCACCGGCUAACUCCGUGCC